UACGGAAGGCAGCAGUGGGGAAUAUUGCACAAUGGGCGAAAGCCUGAUGCAGCUAUGCCGCGUGUAUGAAGAAGGCCUUAGGGUUGUAAAGUACUUUCAUCGGGGAGGAAAAAACAAAACUAAUAAUUUUAUUUCUUGACGUUACCCGAAAAAGAAGCACCGGCUAACUCCGUGCCAGCAGCCGCGGUAAUACGGAGGGUGCUAGCGUUAAUCAGAAUUACUGGGCGUAAAGAGCACGUAGGUGGUUUUUUAAGUCAGAUGUGAAAUCCCUGGGCUUUAACCUAGGAACUGCAUUUUGAAACUGAAAUACUAGAGUAUCGUAGAGGGAGGUAGAAUUCUAGGUGUAGCGGUGAAAUGCGUAGAUAUCUGGAGGAAUACCUGUGGCGAAAGCGGCCUCCUAAACGAAUACUGACACUGAGGGUGCGAAAGCGUGGGGAGACAAACAGGGAUUAGAUA
rnacentral:rRNA from 1 species